GUGCCAGCAGCCGCGGUAAGACGAACCGUGCGAACGUUGUUCGGAAUCACUGGGCUUAAAGGGCGCGUAGGCGGCUCGCACAGUCGGGGGUGAAAUCUUUCGGCUUAACCGGAAAACCGCCUCCGAUACUAGCGAGCUCGAGGGGGGUAGGGGCGGACGGAACUUCCGGUGGAGCGGUGAAAUGCGUUGAUAUCGGAAGGAACGCCGGUGGCGAAAGCGGUCCGCUGGGCCCUCUCUGACGCUGAGGCGCGAAAGCCAGGGGAGCAAACGGGAUUAGAUACCCCCGUAGUCC
rnacentral:rRNA from 1 species